GUAAUAGGAAUUAGGCAAUGAAUGAAAUUAAUGCUUUCUUUCUCAACUUCAUCUCCCUCUGUUUCUAUUCUCUACUCUGUCUCUUCUUACAUCUGAUCUUUCCUUCUCUCCCUUAUUCCUUAUCACUUUCUCAUCUUAAUCGCGACUGAAAUACGCCCAUCAUCCUCACCGCCAUACCGGCCUCAGAGCAAUCUCAUCAUCGGCGGUUGCGGAUCGUCC
rnacentral:lncRNA from 1 species